AUUAACAGGUGUGACGCAGGAAGGUAGCCGGGCCGGGCAAUGGAAAUGACCUGGUCUAAGGGUGUAGGGCUGCCGGUAGGUAAAUCCGCCGGCUGUAUGCCUGAGACCUGAUGGGCGCCCACAUGGUGGGUGAUCCGGUGAUCCUAUGCUGCCUAGAAAAGCAUCGGCGCGAGGUUCAAACUGCCCGUACCCUAAACCGACACAGGUGGUCAGGUAGAGAAUACUAAGGCGAUCGAGAGAAUCAUGGUUAAGGAACUCGGCAAAAUGCCCCCGUAACUUCGGGAGAAGGGGGGCCCCAACCUUGAGCACCACGUGCUGGUGUGAGGGGAUCGGGGCCGCAGAGACCAGGGGGAAGCGACUGUUUAUCAAAAACACAGGUCCAUGCGAAGUCGUAAGACGAUGUAUAUGGACUGACUCCUGCCCGGUGCUGGAAGGUUAAGGGGACCCGUUAGCUUCGGCGAAGCGGAGAACUUAAGCCCCAGUAAACGGCGGUGGUAACUAUAACCAUCCUAAGGUAGCGAAAUUCCUUGUCGGGUAAGUUCCGACCUGCACGAAUGGAGUAACGACUUCCCCGCUGUCUCAACCGUGAACUCGGCGAAAUUGCAUUACGAGUAAAGAUGCUCGUUACGCGCAGAAGGACGGAAAGACCCCGUGACCUUUACUAUAGUUUGGUAUUGGUGUUCGGUGUGACUUGUGUAGGAUAGGUGGGAGACUGUGAAGCGGGCACGCCAGUGUUCGUGGAGUCGUCGUUGAAAUACCACUCUGGUCACUCUGGAUAUCUAACUUCGGCCCGUGAUCCGGGUCAGGGACAGUGCCUGAUGGGUAGUUUAACUGGGGCGGUUGCCUCCUAAAAUGUAACGGAGGCGCCCAAAGGUUCCCUCAGCCUGGUUGGCAAUCAGGUGUCGAGUGCAAGUGCACAAGGGAGCUUGACUGUGAGAGUGGCAGCUCGAGCAGGGACGAAAGUCGGGACUAGUGAUCCGGCGGCUCGUUGUGGAACGGCCGUCGCUCAACGGAUAAAAGGUACCUCGGGGAUAACAGGCUGAUCUUGCCCAAGAGUCCAUAUCGACGGCAUGGUUUGGCACCUCGAUGUCGGCUCGUCGCAUCCUGGGGCUGGAGUAGGUCCCAAGGGUUGGGCUGUUCGCCCAUUAAAGCGGUACGCGAGCUGGGUUCAGAACGUCGUGAGACAGUUCGGUCCCUAUCCUCUGCGCGCGUUGGAAAUUUGAGAAGGUCUGUCCUUAGUACGAGAGGACCGGGACGGACGAACCUCUGGUAUGUCAGUUGUACCGCCAGGUGCAUGGCUGAUUAGCUACGUUCGGGAUGGAUAACCGCUGAAAGCAUCUAAGCGGGAAGCCGGCUUCGAGAUGAGAUUUCCUUGCCCCUUUGAGGGUGUGAGGCCCCCAGCUAGAACACUGGGUUGAUAGGCUGGAUGUGGAAGCGAGGACUGAAGACUCGUGAAGCUGACCAGUACUAAUAGGCCGAUGACUUACACACA
rnacentral:rRNA from 1 species